rnacentral:rRNA from 1 species
AGAGUUUGAUCCUGGCUCAGGAUGAACGCUGGCGGCAGGUCUGACACAUGCAAGUCGAACGGGAAGCCGGUGCUUGCACCGGUGGAGAGUGGCGAACGGCUGAGUAACACGUAGGAACCUACCCCUUGGACCGGGAUAACAGAGGGAAACUUCUGCUAAUACCGGAUAUAUUCUUCGGAAGGAAAUGGUCCGCCGCCGAGGGAGGGGCCUGCGGCGUAUUAGCUUGAUGGUGAGGUAACGGCUCACCAUGGCUAUGAUACGUAGCUGGUCUGAGAGGACGAUCAGCCAGACUGGGACUGCGACACGGCCCAGACUCCUACGGGAGGCAGCAGUUCAGAAUCUUGCACAAUAGGCGAAAGCCUGAUGCAGCCAUGCCGCGUGUGUGAAGAAGGCCCUCGGGUCGUAAAGCACUGUCAGGAGGGAAGAUAAUGACGGUACCUCCAAAGGAAGCAACGGCUAAUUACGUGCCAGCAGCCGCGGUAAUACGUAAGUUGCGAGCGUUAUCCGGAAUCACUGGGCGUAAAGCGUUCGUAGGCGGUGUGGUAAGUCGGAUUUGAAAGCCCGGGGCUCAACCCCGGAUCCGGAUCCGAAACUAUCAUACUUGAGUGUAUCAGAGGGUAGUGGAAUUCCCGGUGUAGCGGUAAUAUGCGUAGAUAUCGGGAGGAACACCAGUGGCGAAGGCGACUACCUGGGGUACUACUGACGCUGAGGAACGAAAGCUAGGGGAGCGAACGGGAUUAGAUACCCCGGUAGUCCUAGCCGUAAACGAUGGGCACUAGGUGUCGGGGGCUUCGACCCCCUCGGUGCCGCCGCUAACGCAUUAAGUGCCCCGCCUGGGAAGUACGGCCGCAAGGUUAAAACUCAAAGGAAUUGACGGGUCCCCGCACAAGCAGUGGAGCAUGUGGAUUAAUUCGAUGCUACGCGAAGAACCUUACCAGGACUUGACAUCCUGCUGAAAGCAUCUGGAAACAGUAGCCCCCUUCGGGCAGCAGUGACAGGUGGUGCAUGGCUGUCGUCAGCUCGUGCCGUGAGGUGUCAGAUUAAGUUCUGUAACGAGCGCAACCCUCGUUGUUAGUUGCCAUCAUUAAGUUGGGCACUCUAGCGAGACUGCCAGCGUCAAGCUGGAGGAAGGUGGGGAUGACGUCAAGUCAUCAUGCCCCUUACGUCCUGGGCUUCACACGUGCUACAAUGGCCGGUACAACGGGCUGCAACACCGCGAGGUGAAGCGAAUCCCUUAAAGCCGGUCUCAGUUCGGAUUGGAGGCUGCAACUCGCCUCCAUGAAGUUGGAAUUGCUAGUAAACGUGGAUCAGCAUGCCGCGUUGAAUACGUACCCGGGGAUUGUACACACCGCCCGUCACACCACGGAAGUUGGUAACACCCGAAGUCCGUCAGCUAACCCGCAAGGGAUGCAGCGGCCGAAGGUGGGAUCAAUGACUGGGGUGAAGUCGUAACAAGGUA